rnacentral:rRNA from 1 species
CUACGGGGGGCUGCAGUGAGGAAUAUUGCACAAUGGGGGGAACCCUGAUGCAGCAACGCCGCGUGGAGGAUGACGCAUUUCGGUGUGUAAACUCCUUUUAUAUGUUAAGAAAAUGACGGUAGCAUAUGAAUAAGCACCGGCUAACUCCGUGCCAGCAGCCGCGGUAAUACGGAGGGUGCAAGCGUUACUCGGAAUCACUGGGCGUAAAGGACGCGUAGGCGGGUUGGAAAGUCAGGUGUGAAAUCCUACAGCUUAACUGUAGAACUGCACUUGAAACUUCUAAUCUAGAGUAUGGGAGGGGGAGAUGGAAUUAGUGGUUUAGGGGUAAAAUCCGUAGAUAUCACUCGGAAUACCUAAAGCGAAGGCGAUCUCCUGGAACAUUACUGACGCUAAGGCGUGAAAGCGUGGGGAGCAAACAGGAUUAGAUACCCCUGUAGUC